GGACCCGUGGAUCAGCAAAUAUCCCUACCCCAGAGGAGCCCACACUCACUGUGCCCCAGAUCUGUGCUGUUCCCAGAACCCAGGGAAGGAAAGCAGAAUUGGUGGUAAAAGGAGCAACAUUCCCGAGUAUCUACUGUGUGUACAAGAGGCUCUACAGGCACGGAAACCUUCGUUUAGAAAGAAACACGGUAUUUCGUUUACAAUAAGGACUCACUUCCUUUGUGUGGCCAGGCCACUCCAAGGAAGUGGAGAGAAAAACACACACCAGCAUAAAUAGCUCUGGGUAGGGAUGCCAUCACCAUCCUGAAAUAUAGGAUGUCAUAAGCACAGGAGGUGGAGAUGGGGAGGUGCCAAAUAACAUCCUGAGACUUCAAGGGGGAAAAAAAGAGCCAGUUCUGAUGGGGGACUUCUUGGCUGGCAGAGACCAGACCACCUCUUUAUCAUUAUGUAUUCAGAGCUUGCUCUGUUAUGCAUGUUGACACCCUAUAAGCAAGGCAUCCUACUGCCUGGCUGAACAGUAGACCUAAGCGGAAUUAAACUUUCCUGAGUUGAUAUGAAGAUGAGAAACCGCACGUGUCUUUCAUCCAGAGGCCCACAGCAAAAGAAAAGUAAAAAUGGACAAACAGACAGAGAGAGGGAGAGGGAGAGAGAGAGAGAGAGUUGCUAGGACAGCCCAGAAGAAUCAAUGUACUUUCCAUGAGGUUCCUUUUCCUGACAGAACUUUCCCUCUGAUUCAGUUUCCCAAACAACUCUUGGUGCUCCCCUUGAGUGCUAUGUUUGGUUUUACAGAGCAGAAGUCAUUUUUCUGGUCAUUCUCAUGGUUGGAGCAUAUUCUCUAGGGUAUAACAGAGACCUCAGGUUCAAUCCUGGUUCCUCCCCCUACAGAUUCAGCUUCCUAAUUUCUAGAGAGAACUAGGAUGGUACAUCCAUGAGGAUUGUGCUGUUGUUGUUGUUAUUGUUAAUUUGCUGUCAUUUUUUUAAAAAGUAGGCUUUAAUGAAGAUGAUAUUUGCAGCUUCCAUCCCAGCAGCACAGGGGUAGCGCAAACUCCGUGGGUGAUGAAUCCCACUUCCUGGCUCCUCUUCAAGCCUGAGGCAUUCUCUCUCUCCCCCACCCCUGGUAAAGAAUGCAGCCAUGCACACGUGCAGCUAUGUGAAGAGCAGCUGAUAACAGCACUAACCCCCGCUGUUCACUGUCUUCUAGGUAUCUUUGCCUUUUUUUCCUCUUCCCUGGCAAUCGCAGCUGUGGAUUUUACUGCUGCCGCUGCUUUCUGCUAGCAUGGACGCCUACAUAUCUUGUCUUCCCUUAAGCCCUCUUCAUCCGUGCCCCAGGAAAUGACCCUCCACCACCAUGGUCUGAGGAGAUCAAUGUCUGUGAGAGAGUCCAUCCAACCUGCGUGUGGGAAGACGUGGAGCUCAUUACUCGUCCCUGUGGAUAUAAUGUGACUAGCAACUCCUGCUUCUGUCACCAGAGUCAAGAGCUGCUGUUGUCGCCACUCCUCCCCUACCACAAUGGACUGACCAGAACUUCAACCCAUGAGACAAAGGAUGAAAAGGUUUCGAUCCGUGAGUAGAAAAACUCAGCCAAGAUCACACAGUGGGAACCAUACAGGAAAUCACUUCCAUUCUGGAGUCCGGGCUCUUCUGGAUGCACAAUCAUCCCACAGAAUGGGAUUGCGUCAAGGACCCCACA